CUUAAUUACCAAUAUGUCAAAAAAAAAAAAAAAUCUAUGUAUCCAGAAAUUUAUUUAUUUAUUUCAUGGAUGCUGAGCCGUUGUCAUCUUGUUUCUACCAAAAUGCAAAGAGGAAAAAAAAUUCAAUUUGAUUAGUUGGGCUUCCUUCCAGAUUCGGGAGAGAUUCAGAAGCUGGGUUAUUUUGCUUUCGUGGCUGACCCAUCCUUAGCAAGAUUGACAGUGAUAAAUACUGAUGGAGAUCCCACCGUGGCAUUAGGAUGGUUGGUGGGCGAGUACAAUUGGGAAUCCCCAUCUCGGGUUCGAAUCCCCUCUACUAAGGCCUCGCCUCUUCAGUGGGACAAAGAAAGUGUGGGCCCGAUACCGGUGGGUGGCCUCACUAGGUUCCGCCAAAUGAUUAGUUAUGACGCCAAGCUCUCUCUUUGGAGUGACAGCGGGUGGAUACCCCUAUUCAAAAAAAAAAAAAAACUUUUCUUAAAGUUUGGGGUAACUUUCUUACUGAUUCUUAAAGUAGCUUUUUAGUACAAAAUUUUAAAUUUAUACUAAAAAUUUGCAUUAAUAAGCAGUAAGAAAGAAUAUGGCUUAAUGUUAGUUGUAAGUGAGAAUUUUGUUUAUGGUAGUUUGAUUCCCAUGACAUGAAUGAAAAGAAUAUGGGGGAUUUAGAUAUAUAGCACAUAAUUUGUAUGUACUAAUACAUUUAACAUUUAAAUUUUUAUAUUUAUUUAUAGAGU